AGCAGCCGCGGUAAUUCCAGCUCCAAUAGCGUAUAUUAAAGUUGUUGCAGUUAAAAAGCUCGUAGUUGAAUUUCGGAGUUCUACCGUCGGUCGGGCUACCAAGUCUGUACUGGUGUGUAGAAUUCCUACCUUCUGGGAACUAUCAUGUUAUUAAUUUAGCGUGGUGGGAAACCAGGACCUUUACCUUGAAAAAAUUAGAGUGUUCAAAGCAGGCUUAUGUCUGAAUACAUUAGCAUGGAAUAAUAGAAUAGGACGGUGGUCCUGUUUUGUUGGUUUCUGAAUCACCGUAAUGAUUAAUAGGGAUAGUUGGGGGCAUUAGUAUUCAAUUGUCAGAGGUGAAAUUCUUGGAUUUAUUGAAGACUAACUUCUGCGAAAGCAUUUGCCAAGGAUGUUUUCAUUAAUCAAGAACGAAAGUUAGGGGAUCGAAGACGAUCAGAUACCGUCGUAGUCUUAACCAUAAACUAUGCCGACUAGGGAUCGGACGAUGUUAAAUUUAUUGACUCGUUCGGCNCCGUUACGG
rnacentral:rRNA from 1 species